rnacentral:rRNA from 1 species
UACGUAGGGGGCAAGCGUUGUCCGGAAUCAUUGGGCGUAAAGAGCUCGUAGGCGGUCUGUUGCGUCGGUUGUGAAAACCUGGGGCUCAACUCCAGGCCUGCAAUCGAUACGGGCAGACUAGAGUUCGGUAGGGGAGACUGGAAUUCCUGGUGUAGCGGUGAAAUGCGCAGAUAUCAGGAGGAACACCGGUGGCGAAGGCGGGUCUCUGGGCCGAAACUGACGCUGAGGAGCGAAAGCGUGGGGAGCGAACAGG